rnacentral:lncRNA from 1 species
UUCAUUCCUGAGCCCAACCUCUGAGUUUAUCCACUCUAAUGCCCUUAGCUGAGGAUACCUGCCCACCAUCCCCCCCCCCCCACCCCGGGGCGAGAAAAAGCUGUGUGCCUUUGUUCAUCCUGUGUCUUAGAGCCACCCUGAAGCUCUCAGGAGGGCAGUGACCAGACAGAUAUUCUGAGGGGUGACUCUCCUGCCAUCUGGACACCUCUUAUUCCAUGAAGCCCCAUGUCCUGGGUAUGACUCCCAUGCUCAGAGGACAGAGCCCCAGGACCCCACACCGAGAGGCAGAAACAAUGAUGUCCUUGAAUAAGAGGGCCUGCAUGACUUUGAGAUCCUCAACACUGCACCGCUGUGGCUGCAUCUUCCUGUGUCCAAAGCUACAACUGGUUUUCUGUCUCUGACUCUUCUUGACUCAGCACAACUAAAGAAAUACCCUCGGAAUGUAUCUCCUUGGUGACUCUGAGUCCAGUCAAGGUGACGGUGAAGACGGACCAUUUGUGGAUGAGCAUUUGGCUUGCUUGUGCCUUUGGACUAAUGUCUGCCGUCUGCUCUUCUGGCCAGGAGCUGCCCAUGCCAGGAUUUCUCAGGUAGUGCAGGCAACUUCAGCUUAUAUCCAAAGAAGACAUGCAACCUGCCUCUGACCAAUGAGAGUCCUUCUCUACUGGAAAGAGACUGGGAGCAGGAAGCUGGCCUUCAGUCCCUCUGAGGUGACAGUAAAGGAAAUCCUGAGCCUGGGAAUGCUAGAUAAGCCAAGACAGAAGGGGUAGAUAGGAUGCAGAGAGAGUGACUCCAAGUGGGAGCUAGAAAUAAGUUACAUUAUGUAAUGUUAGCAUUGUGGAACUUCUCAUUUCACCCUGCCACUAUUUCCAAAUGUCUACUUUAUCACCUGGGGGGCUCUAUUGUCCUGUUCUAUUCUAGCCUGAUCAUCCCUGUCCACUUUUCCAGCUGCAGCUGGAGUUCUCCUCUUGAGACCAGGGGACCUGGUGAAUGGUGCUGUCACAACACCAAAGCCUGCUCUUAGGACAAGUGGACUCAGAAGAAGUUGGCAAUGCCACUGAGGUAGGACCGGACUGACACAAGUGCUAUCCUCCUGCCAGGGUCCAUGUGGCAUGGCAAUAGUUUGCUAAGAGUAAGUAGGCAUCAAACAGAUAGAUAGGGGGACAAGCAAGCAACCCGGACACAGCAGGGGCAGCCUCAGUCUGCGAAGAGAAGCAGAGUCCUCCAGUAGACCGUCUGAAGAUGAAGCGGAAGCUCGCAGGGGGAUUC